CAUGCAUUAUCAUGGCCUUUAUUGGGUUGAGCUAACACGUAAUGUUGAGUUCUUCGAAUCUGACAAGACUUUCCCUGUCUUGGACUCUCAGAUUUGGACGUGAUUGCGAUGUUUCCAAAACGAAGAAAGCAACGCAGAAGAUGUCUACCGAGCAGUGGCGCCUGCGCGCAAGUAUGAGUAGAACAUGUGGUUUCUCCUAGCCCACUCCAUCCCUGCUCUCUGCCGGCUCGACAGCUUCGCAAACUGCUCGCCGCCAACAGGAUCUAAGCUCGAAAGAGUCCUCCUCGAACACAAAAGAUGAGGUAUUUUCCUCCAUGAGUUGCCCACUCUGAUCCAUCCCAGAUUGUCGUGUAAACCGACAUCGGCUUUGAUGGAUAAAUCGAGGAGAUAGCCGCAUCAUGAACAACUUCUCUUACAGAUCAAGAAAAUUGAAAAAUGUUAAAGUUUCUUACACUACAUGAUGUAUGUUCCACAAGAUGCUGAAGUUGUGAAAUCCUUUGGUGGGAUCGAAC